GACGAACGCUGGCGGCGUGCUUAACACAUGCAAGUCGAACGGAAAGGCCCUGCUUUUGUGGGGUGCUCGAGUGGCGAACGGGUGAGUAACACGUGAGUAACCUGCCCUUGACUUUGGGAUAACUUCAGGAAACUGGGGCUAAUACCGGAUAGGAGCUCCUGCUGCAUGGUGGGGGUUGGAAAGUUUCGGCGGUUGGGGAUGGACUCGCGGCUUAUUAGCUUGUUGGUGGGGUAGUGGCUUACCAAGGCUUUGACGGGUAGCCGGCCUGAGAGGGUGACAGGCCACAUUGGGACUGAGAUACGGCCCAGACUCCUACGGGAGGCAGCAGUGGGGAAUAUUGCACAAUGGGCGGAAGCCUGAUGCAGCAACGCCGCGUGCGGGAUGACGGCCUUCGGGUUGUAAACCGCUUUCGCCUGUGACGAAGCGUGAGUGACGGUAAUGGGUAAAGAAGCACCGGCUAACUACGUG
rnacentral:rRNA from 1 species